UGGCGAGUUUGAUCCUGGCUCAGAAUGAACGCUGGCGGUAUGCUUAAUACAUGCAAGUCGAACGAAAUAUUUAGCACUUGUGUUAAAUAAUUUAGUGGCGAACGGGUGAGUAACACGUAAGAACUUACCCCUAGGCGGGGUACAACAGUUGGAAACGACUGCUAAUACCCCAUAUUACCGGAAGGUGAAAGAAGCAAUUCUCCUAGGGCGAGGCUUGCGUCUGAUUAGCUAGUUGGUGAGGUAAUGGCUUACCAAGGCGACGAUCAGUAGUUGGUCUUAGAGGAUGAUCAGCCACACUGGGACUGAGACACGGCCCAGACUCAAUGAUAGAGGCAGCAGUAAGGAAUAUUAGACAAUGAGCGGAAGCUUGAUCUAGCUAUAUCGCGUGGGUGAUGCAAACCUUCGGGUAGUAAAUCCCUUUAAUUGGAUAAAAGAUUAUGACAAAAUCCAAUCAAAAAGUCCCGGCUAACUUCGUGCCAGCAGCCGCGGUAAAACGGAGGGGACAAGUGUUAUUCGGAAUGACUGGGCGUAAAGAGUUCGUAGGCGGACAUACGAGUUUGAAGGACCAACCCAUAGAACUCCUUUGGGAAAUCUUUAAUAAGCGUAUGUCUUGAGUCAGAUAGAGGAAAGUGGAAUGUCAUGUGUAGGGAUAAAAUCCGCGAAGAUGUGAUGGAAGGCCGAAAGCGAAGGCAACUUUCUGGGUCUUGACUGACGCUAAAGAACGAAAGCGUGGGUAGCGACAGGGAUUAGAGACCCCUCUAGUCCACGCCGUAAACGAUGAGUGCUAAGUGUUAGAGGGUUUCCGCCCUUUAGUGCUGAAGUAAACGCAUUAAGCACUCCGCCUGGGGAGUACGGCCGCAAGGUUAAAACUCAAAUGAAUUGACGGGGGCCCGCACAAGCGGUGGAGCAUGUGGUUUAAUUCGAAGCAACGCGCAGAACCUUACCUACCCUUGACAUUUGGUGCUACAUCCAGAGAUGGAUGGUCCUCUUCGGAGGCGCCAGGACAGGUGCUGCAUGGCUGUCGUCAGCUCGUGUCGUGAGAUGUUGGGUUAAGUCCCGUAACGAGCGCAACCCCUAUCCCUAGUUGCUAGCAGUUCGGCUGAGAACUCUAGGGAGACUGCCGGUGACAAACCGGAGGAAGGUGGGGAUGACGUCAGGUCAUCAUGGCCCUUACGGCCAGGGCUACACACGUGCUACAAUGGUGCGUACAGAGGGCUGCAAACCCGCGAGGGGGAGCUAAUCUCACAAAACGCAUCGUAGUCCGGAUCGGAGUCUGCAACUCGACUCCGUGAAGUCGGAAUCGCUAGUAAUCGCGAAUCAGAAUGUCGCGGUGAAUACGUUCCCGGGCCUUGUACACACCGCCCGUCACACCAUGGAAGUUGGUAAUGCCCGAAAUCGUGCAUCUAACCUUUUAGGAGGAGAGCGCCUAAGGUAGGAUCAGUGACUAUGGUGAAGUCGUAACAAGGUAGCCGUACUGGAAGGUGUGGCUGGAUUACCUCCU
rnacentral:rRNA from 1 species